rnacentral:lncRNA from 1 species
UCUAAAUUCACGUUCUGUAAACCCAAGGGAAAAGAAACACUAUGAUCAUCCUUUUGCAUUGCAAAAAACAAAAACAAACUCCUCCCUCUGCAAUGCAGAAUCCUCCUUUAAGUUCAGCUUUUGUAUAUUCAAGUGUUUGCAGACCUAGUGGUUCUUUUAAAACUACUUCUACAGUUAUCUAGAGUCUAGGGAAUGGGUAACAUUACACAAGAUAAGCCUUCUUUUCGUUUAAGAUCAUAGCUGGUUAAGUAGAACUGGAGAUUUUAAGAACUGGAAAAAAGGAAAAGGUGAAAAGUAGCAUACAAAAUUGAGAAACUAAAUUCUGACGGUAAUUUUAUUAAUGAAAAUAAACUUUAUUUAAUACAGGGGAAUUCUUAGGUAUGAAUAUUUCACAUAAAUAAAUGUCACAAUAGCGUCAAAUCCCAGACUUUCAGGAAAGUAACUGUAGCACUGUUAAUAUCACAACAACAACAACAAAAUUCUCAUCUACUUUGUUCUGAAAAGUUUUAUUUUUCUUAAAAAAGAAAAAAAAGCAAACCACCCCCCCCAAAAAAAAUUUUUUUUAAAAAUAAAAAUAAGAACAAACAGAAACCAGUCUGAGCUGGCAGCUGUGACAGCCAGUGAGACACCCGGGCUUUCCGGGUAGUGCUUGGCUUUGGGCUGGAUGUCCACGCAGAGAGCCCUGGAGCCAUCCCGCAGGUCCCACACCCAGGUACCCAGAAAAUGACGGCGGCCGCACACACGGGGGCUGGCGGGGUCCGGGCCACGCUGCAGACGGGGAGAGGCACUCGGGGUGAAGGAUCGCGGGGAAGGCACUGCGGUCGGAACCGAGAGGCAAGGCCUGGGAAAGCGCCGGGGACGUCCCGUGCUCCGGGACGUCGGGUGCCCGCGCGGGACGCCCUGUCAUGACUCACGGAGGCGAGAAAGCACGGGCAGGGAAAGAGGCUGCAGGAUGGAGGGAAGCCCGACCGUCGGGAGGGAACCCAACCCGGGGGAGGGAGGGAGUGGAGGGAGGAGUGAAGGGGCACCGCCUCCCCCGCG